rnacentral:rRNA from 1 species
UGGGGAAUAUUGGACAAUGGGGGCAACCCUGAUCCAGCAAUUCCGCGUGUGUGAAGAAGGCCUGCGGGUUGUAAAGCACUUUCAGUAGCGAAAAUGGAGUUUUGUACCAAUAAUGCAAGACUUUGAUAUUAACUACAGAAGAAGCACCGGCUAACUCCGUGCCAGCAGCCGCGGUAAUACGGAGGGUGCAAGCGUUAAUCGGAAUUACUGGGCGUAAAGAGUACGUAGGCGGCUUUUCAAGUCGGAUGUGAAAGCCCUGAGCUUAACUCAGGAACUGCAUUCGAUACUGGAUAGCUAGAGUAUAUUAGAGGAUAGUGGAAUUUCAAGUGUAGCGGUGAAAUGCGUAGAUAUUUGAAGGAACACCAAUGGCGAAGGCAGCUAUCUGGAAUAAUACUGACGCUGAGGUACGAAAGCGUGGGGAGCAAACAGG